rnacentral:rRNA from 1 species
GCGGACGGGUGAGUAACACGUAAGCAACCUGCCUAUAAGAGGGGAAUAACAGUGAGAAAUUACUGAUAAUACCGCAUAAGCUGGAGGUAUCGCAUGAUACAUUCAGAAAAGAUUUAUCGCUUAUAGAUGGGCUUGCGUCUGAUUAGCUAGUUGGUGAGAUAACAGCUCACCAAGGCAACGAUCAGUAGCCGGAUUGAGAGGUUGAACGGCCACAUUGGGACUGAGACACGGCCCAGACUCC